UUAAUUGGUUACUGUCUUUUUAGUACUUCAUGUAUCAUUGUUAAGUCUUCUUUGCCAUUUUGUUAUAUCAUAGAUACAAGAGAAGGAAUAAUCUGUCUGGGCUUCAGCCCUAAACUGUUUAUUUUGUCUGUGAUAGAGGCAAAAUCCGGAGGAAGAAGCUAGAAGGACUUGACAUAAGGGAAAGAAGACAAUAUGAAGCAUCAAACAAUGGAUGUCAUUUCUCGAUUUGAACAUUUUUUAUGGAGGUCUUUAUAAAAUGGCGUCAUGAGUAAUACUUUUGAGUACUAUUGUAAUGUGACAAGUUUAUAUAUACCUUUUAGAUUAUGGCGUGGCCUAUUAGUUUGCUAGAAAUAUUGGAUCUAUUUUGCAUUACAAGCUUAUGUAAUGAACCUUUUAAUUAUGGUGUUUUGUAUAUUUUGGAAUUAUGAAAAUGCAGACUCUUUUACCUUUUACAA